rnacentral:lncRNA from 1 species
UUGGCAACUUUGUUCGUGGUUCUUGUGUCAGACUGACAGCUGGCUGAGCUGAGAGACAGGUUAUGGAAAGUGGGGACGUCGCGAGAGCGCCGGAGACUCCACUGCCGUAACAAUAAUGUGGGCAAAUUAAAAGCCACGAUUUAUCGGCGACAUCAAGAGCCGAUGUCUCGAUUUAAAUAAAUAGCUUAACCGAGAUGGUGAGUCCUCGCAAUUCUUCGUGCAUAUUUUUGCACCAACUUUGUGAUAACCUCGAGGUCCUUUGUUUUCAGCAACAUCACUGAAAUCCCAUCGCCUAAGGUCCAGUGGGUGGGAUUAGGUUUCAUCCGAGCGAUGCCCAACUAUCCCGGAUGAACCUAUGGGGUUUUUGAGUUUCUAAAGUUUUAACGUUUUAAAGUUUUUAACGUUUUGCAAGUUUUAAUGUAAGAAGAAGUUUAUGAUUGGAUCAGAUGAUUUCAACAAUGUUUGGUGAAUGAAGAUUCCUACUGUUUUCUUCUGCGUUUGCAAGUUAUUUCAAGCUUCAUUACGGCGGAGCUUGCCUUGGUUGUUUGCACGUCGAAGCUUUCCUUUGUGCGGCGCGCAUGUGGAUGUGCUGCGCCUCUCCUUUUGUCAACACUCCGGAUAAGGCCCGGUGAAGGACUGCGAGGUUGACCGGUGGACGUGCAGCCCGCCAGCUGCGUAACAGUUGGCCCGCUGCGCCGCCAUCGUCCAGCACGCCCUGGCCUGAGCCGGCCUCAACUCAUCACCUGUACGGUAUUCCGGAACGCCUCAGGUAGGCCUGAUAGUCGGAGGUCCUCGAGUAAGUGAGGUGCCUACAGGUGUACGGACAGUGUUUUAAACAGUGAUAUCCCAUGGUUGUAACGGAGUGACAAUUAACCUGACGGACCAAAGCGCGACCUGUCUCCCUCCAUAGGGUUUUUGACCUACCUAUGGUUAACCAAAUCUGUAUAUUGAAAAUUAUACAUUGUACCAAUUCAA